AGUCGAGCGGUACAUUUCUAGCUUGCUAGAAGAUGACGAGCGGCGGACGGGUGAGUAAUACUUAGGAAUCUACCUAGUAGUGGGGGAUAGCUCGGGGAAACUCGAAUUAAUACCGCAUACGACCUACGGGAGAAAGGGGGCAACUUGUUGCUCUCGCUAUUAGAUGAGCCUAAGUCGGAUUAGCUAGAUGGUGGGGUAAAGGCCUACCAUGGCGACGAUCUGUAGCUGGUCUGAGAGGAUGAUCAGCCACACCGGGACUGAGACACGGCCCGGACUCCUACGGGAGGCAGCAGUGGGGAAUAUUGGACAAUGGGGGAAACCCUGAUCCAGCCAUGCCGCGUGUGUGAAGAAGGCCUUUUGGUUGUAAAGCACUUUAAGCAGUGAAGAAGACUCUUCGGUUAAUACCCGGAGACGAUGACAUUAGCUGCAGAAUAAGCACCGGCUAACUCUGUGCCAGCAGCCGCGGUAAUACAGAGGGUGCAAGCGUUAAUCGGAAUUACUGGGCGUAAAGCGAGCGUAGGUGGCUUGAUAAGUCAGAUGUGAAAUCCCCGGGCUUAACCUGGGAACUGCAUCUGAUACUGUCAGGCUAGAGUAGGUGAGAGGAAGGUAGAAUUCCAGGUGUAGCGGUGAAAUGCGUAGAGAUCUGGAGGAAUACCGAUGGCGAAGGCAGCCUUCUGGCAUCAUACUGACACUGAGGCUCGAAAGCGUGGGUAGCAAACAGGAUUAGAUACCCUGGUAGUCCACGCCGUAAACGAUGUCUACUAGUCGUUGGGUCCCUUGAGGACUUAGUGACGCAGCUAACGCAAUAAGUAGACCGCCUGGGGAGUACGGCCGCAAGGUUAAAACUCAAAUGAAUUGACGGGGGCCCGCACAAGCGGUGGAGCAUGUGGUUUAAUUCGAUGCAACGCGAAGAACCUUACCUGGUCUUGACAUAUCUAGAAUCCUGCAGAGAUGCGGGAGUGCCUUCGGGAAUUAGAAUACAGGUGCUGCAUGGCUGUCGUCAGCUCGUGUCGUGAGAUGUUGGGUUAAGUCCCGCAACGAGCGCAACCCUUGUCCUUAGUUACCAGCGGGUUAAGCCGGGAACUCUAAGGAUACUGCCAGUGACAAACUGGAGGAAGGCGGGGACGACGUCAAGUCAUCAUGGCCCUUACGACCAGGGCUACACACGUGCUACAAUGGUAGGUACAGAGGGCAGCUACACAGCGAUGUGAUGCGAAUCUCAAAAAGCCUAUCGUAGUCCAGAUUGGAGUCUGCAACUCGACUCCAUGAAGUAGGAAUCGCUAGUAAUCGCGGAUCAGA
rnacentral:rRNA from 1 species